ensembl:lncRNA
GUGAUGGAAGAUGACCCAGACCUACAGCGAAUAUUCUCCCCCCCCAUCUCUGGCAGUUCCCACUGCCACUCCUGCUCCAAGGUGUAUAUCUUAACACACAUAUCUCAUUCCAUCCUUGCAAUAACUCCCCGGCAGCCGAGGUGGAUCAAAGAGCAGGGACACUCGAGGCUCCAGUGAUAAAACCUUGGCUUCGACGAGAGGGUCCUGCAAGGAGGCACACGCUGGCUCCGGCUAUCCACGUGGACCUGGGGCCCGAGGGCCACCCCGGCUGACGUGGCGGGGCCCCCGAAGCUCCUCUUCCUGCUCUCCCCACCCUCACCGCCGCCGCAGGAAAGCAGCCCCCAGCCCCAGCGAGGUCCUCCCUGGGAACCAUCUUGUAGGUGAAAAUAAAGCAGCACUUUCAUCCAAGGAGCUCAGCACAAUCACUGAAAGCACAUGAAAUCACUUAGACCUGGGAGCCCGCAGCCCCCUUGGCUUAAUUACACGGCGGGCCGGGCUCUGCUGAAAGCAAUUAGAUCUGAGAUCCCCGGCGGAGGCACGCGCACACUGCCCCGCUCUCCACGAGCCGGCUGUCGUCCACACCCGCCCGCCCUCUCUCAGACGCCUUCUAAGGAUGGAGGCCUUGUGAAUUAGCUGUUUGUUCAGGUGGUUGAAGGCUCCCAGGGCCCGAAGGACAGAGCAUGAAGUUUCCUUCCCUCCUGUCCUUCCUCCAAGCCGCCAAGCUCCCCGCACGUGACCAGGGCCGGCCAUCCCUUUGGUGUCCUUCCGAAACCAGCGACGCCAUAAAUCCAUCCGUUUGAACAUAGCCUUUCUUCCAGAAGGCAAUCGCUUUUCCAACAGCGGGACUAUGAGCGUCCUAUGUCAUCUGCUGGUGUAAACAGCCAACCACUUCCCCCUGGACAAACAAGUUUGCUGCCGGCAGGAGAGCUCCCUGUUGAAAAUCAAAUAAAGCGCUUGAUUCCAGAUGAGAGCAUUUGGUUCCAGGUACCGCUCACUCGGUGAGCCGGGGCCGUCGCGCCCGGAGCUGGCUAAUGAGCAGGCGUGCGAUCCCCACCUCCCAGAUCACAACCCUGAAAGGCCCUUUUGUGGCGGGGAGGGGCCAGACCCCAGCCACAAUGCUCUCUUGUCAGAAGGGCCUCCUGGAGCUGCCAUGAGAGGGGGGCAGCUCUGCAAAGCAAAGCAGAGGGAAGGCAGUGAUUUUGUGGUGGUUUCUGAGGCCUGGUGGACUCAGUGGAGGCACUCAUGUUUCCAGGCCUGGCUGGAUGGCGGGCUCGUUGUGCAAGCGCGCCAGGCUGGGAUGCAGGGCAUGGAGAUGUCACCCUCCCUGAGAUAUGCCAGCCCCAAGAUGGAGGUGGGGGCACCAGGUGGUGCUGUGCCCGCCACUUUUCGCCGACAGAGAAACAGGGCUUCCCUGGGGGACAUGGCAGCCAGGAUGAAAUUCAGAUCUGCGGUUCCAGCAUUUGACAGACACAAAUUCUCGAAACAUUCCAGAGAAGAGACAGAGGGGAUUAAGCCCUGCUCUGGACAAGGAGAUGCGUCCUCAAGGGAGAGAGGAAGUUUGGGUUUGUCCAAAGAGGAGCUUGGAGUUGGGGCUGAGGCUCCCAGAUGUGUGCCCUGCCCUCAGCUGUCACCUCCCCAGCCUGACAAAGGGACAGACAGUGACAUUCUAGGAUGGCACACAGUAUAGGCACAGGAGGAUGGAUUCUGGAGCCAGAGGGUCAGGGUUUGAACCCUGAUUCCCCAUGUAUUAGCCACGUGACCCUGAGGAGGUGACUUAGCCUUUUGGGGCCUCAGUUUCCUUGUCCUUAAAUGGGUGUAAUUAUAGUAUCCGCGGAGAAGACAAUGGCACCCCACUCCAGUACUCUUGUCUGGCAAAUCCCAUGGACAGAGGAGCCUAGUAGGCUGCAGUC